rnacentral:lncRNA from 1 species
AAAAAAAACCUUCCCUGCCUCCACUUAUUAUCUUGAGUUUUAUUUGGAGUACAGAGAUUUACUUAUAAUCUUUCCAUUCUUGCUUUUAGAUUUGGGGUAAUUCCUCACUCCUGAGGCAAGACCUUUCGGAGUAUUCAUUGUCCUGUGAAGUAUGCGGUAUUUUGGCCUGGCUCAUGGGAAUGGACCCUCUUCCAGUCAUUGUGUGAACCCCAGACAUCGUUUCUGCUAAUGUUCUUUAACUGUUGUUUUUUUUUAUUUUAUUUUUCAUUGUUCUUAGGAAGUUUCCUAGUACACAAGCACUUUUCAUUACUCCACUAAAUACCCAAGAGGGAAUCUCUGCACAUCUCCAGGAUUUGUUUCCUGUACUGCUUUUUUCUCUCCAGUUUUCUGUCCUGUGAUCUCUAUCUGCUUUGGUUUUACUGGCCUCUCAGCGUCAUCACCCCAGCUCUAUGUCAGAUUUUCUCCCUUUGUGAUGGCCUCGAACCUCCGUCAAAACUCUGUCAAAAGAGCUGGGAUAUUUGUAAGGCCUGCUGUAUUUGUUUUCUGUCUUUCAGUGAUCACCUACCAUCUUCAUUGCCUGAAGUCCACUGUGUUGAAAAUCAGUUUAAUGUAUUGUGUCUGUUUUGUUUUUUAUUCAUUCAGAUAAGAUGAAAAAUCAGUAUCUGUUACUCCAUCAGAGCUAGUAACAGAUUGCAGCAGAGCUUCAGCACAGCACAUGCUGCAAACUAGCCAGAGUGCUUUGCUUUCUUCUUUGCUUAACUGCUUCUUUCUCAUCCUUCAUUUCUCAGUGUAGCAUCUCUUCCUCAGGGAAAUCUUCCCUGGGUGAAGUAUAGAUCAAAU